rnacentral:rRNA from 1 species
GAUGAACGCUGGCGGCGUGCCUAAUACAUGCAAGUCGAGCGAACAGACAAGAAGAUUGCUCCCCUGACGUUAGCGGCGGACGGACGGGUAAGAAAUAGAUCACCAUCUUCUUUGACUGGGAUAACUUCGUGAAAACGGUGACACUACUACCUCAUAUAAUCUACGGCUUAGAUCAGUAGUGCUUGACGCCUUUGCUGUUAGUUUUAGACGAUUUCGCGCCGGAUUAGCUAGUUGGUAAGGUAACGGCUUACCAAGGCAACGAUGCGUAGCCGACCUGAGAGGAUGAUCAGCCACACUGGAACUGAGACACGGUCCAGACUCCUACGGGAGGCAGCAGUGGGGAAUCUUCGACAAUGGGCGAAAGCCUGACGGAGCAACGCCGCGUGAGUGAUGAAGGUCUUCGGAUCGUAAAACUCUGUUAUUAGGGAAGAAAAAAUGUGGAUUAAACUAUGGACGUCUUGACGGUACCUAAACAGAAAGCCACGGCUAACUUCGUG